rnacentral:rRNA from 1 species
UGGGGAAUUUUGGACAAUGGGCGAAAGCCUGAUCCAGCAAUGCCGCGUGUGUGAAGAAGGCCUUCGGGUUGUAAAGCACUUUUGUCCGGAAAGAAAUCCUUGGCUCUAAUACAGUCGGGGGAUGACGGUACCGGAAGAAUAAGCACCGGCUAACUACGUGCCAGCAGCCGCGGUAAUACGUAGGGUGCAAGCGUUAAUCGGAAUUACUGGGCGUAAAGCGUGCGCAGGCGGUUUGCUAAGACCGAUGUGAAAUCCCCGGGCUCAACCUGGGAACUGCAUUGGUGACUGGCAGGCUAGAGUAUGGCAGAGGGGGGUAGAAUUCCACGUGUAGCAGUGAAAUGCGUAGAGAUGUGGAGGAAUACCGAUGGCGAAGGCAGCCCCCUGGGCCAAAUACUGACGAUCAUGCACGAAAGCGUGGGGAGCAAACAGGAUUAGAUACCCUGGUAGUCCACGCCCUAAACGAUGUCAACUAGUUGUUGGGGAUUCAUUUCCUUAGUAACGUAGCUAACGCGUGAAGUUGACCGCCUGGGGAGUACGGUCGCAAGAUUAAAACUUAAAUGAAUUGACGGGGU